rnacentral:rRNA from 1 species
CCUACGGGAGGCAGCAGUGAGGAAUAUUGGUCAAUGGACGAGAGUCUGAACCAGCCAAGUAGCGUGAAGGAUGACUGCCCUAUGGGUUGUAAACUUCUUUUAUAUGGGAAUAAAACGUUGCACGUGUGGGAUUUUGUAUGUACCAUAUGAAUAAGGAUCGGCUAACUCCGUGCCAGCAGCCGCGGUCAUACGGAGGAUCCGAGCGUUAUCCGGAUUUAUUGGGUUUAAAGGGAGCGUAGGUGGAUUGUUAAGUCAGUUGUGAAAGUGUGCGGCUCAACCGUAAAAUUGCAGUUGAAACUGGCAGUCUUGAGUACAGUAGAGGUGGGCGGAAUUCGUGGUGUAGCGGUGAAAUGCUUAGAUAUCACGAAGAACUCCGAUUGCGAAGGCAGUUCACUGGACUGCAACUGACACUGAGGCUCGAAAGUGUGGGUAUCAAACAGGAUUAGAUACCCGUGUAGUC